GCGUCGGCUGGGCAUUGGCGAGCCCCAGUGGUUGUAACCCACCCGCUUUCGAGCUGUGGCGGUUCGACUCCGUCCCGGCGCA
rnacentral:tRNA from 1 species